AUUGCACUUCAGCUGCUCGGCAUUUCUCCCCACAGUCCACUCCCCUAGUCCCCACUGCCCAGACCCAGUUCCCAAAUUCAGAUUGCCCAAUAUACAAAAACCCAAGCUUCUCUUCAUCGUUCUCUCACUCUCCUUUUGUGCCAUCGCAGUCCUUAGCUAUCGUCAGUUGCAGUUUCAUCAUUAAGGGGUUUAAAUGGCUGGAAGGUGUUUGAGAAAAGACUCAAGUGAACCACAUGUACUGCAUAUUGGAAUGAUGGAAUGAUGAUGGGAGACAAAAAUGACUACAUAUAAAGUAGGUAGGUAGGUUUCAUUCCCUUUAUCAUAUGUCAUGACAUUUUGCAUAUUAUAUAAGAAAUUGUGGAUCCAUAAAUUAUUUGAUAUUCCAUCAAAUUAAUGCGGUUCAGACACUUUUAAUCAUUAAGGUUUCUCUUAUCGUCAUGUUCUAAAUGUAAUGACUUUUGAUCAAUCUGAUGUAUUAAAUUAUAAUGCUUGUAAAUUGUAAAGUCCUAUUGUGACAUUACCCCCAAUAAAUAAUAGCAUGAACUUACUAUUUUUCUUUUAAAUUCGAAGCAAAAAGACAUUGAAAUGUCAAAAAUUAAGUUGGCUUGUGUCACCUUGUACCCUAAUUAGAAAUAUGAGGUGUAUGUUGUUUUCUUUAGAAAUAAUCUGGGUACAUACCACUUGUCUUCCCAUUUAGGCUUGUAUGUAUAUUAUAUUUUUAUGGUGGCCAUAAUAUAAUCAAGAAGUAAUCAUAUAGAAUAUAAUUAUUGUUUCUUAAUUAUCUUGACAUGAUGGAGACAAAACAUCACAAAUAAGAGAGGACACAUAAUUUAAUUAUUAUUCUUUUAAUCAAGCUAUAAAUGAUUGCAUAUUGAAAACAAGAAAUCAUGGAGUAGUACUGCUAUAGGGAGUUUCUAAAUUUUAAGUCGGAGUUAGAACUGUAUUUGUUGGAGAGCAUUGAGAUUCCAACAGGGAGUUUCUAAAUUUUAAGUCAAAAGUUAGAACGGUAUUUGUUGGAGAGCAUUGAGAUUCCUACAGGGAGUUUCGAAAUUUAAAUUUGGUAAAAAGUCAACUCCACCAAGUAUCCAAUCAUUGCUCUAAUGGCAAAAAAUAUCUUAGCCAUUCCGAUCACCACCGUUGCAUCUGAGUCAGCAUUUAGCACAAGAGGCUGUGUCCUGGAUCCGUUUAGGAGUUCUUUGGCUCCUAGAACUGUAGAGGCUCUUGUAUGCUUGUAAAACUGGUUGAAGUUCACUCCUAUAUGCUUGAGUCAAAAUUAUUCGGAAGCUAUUGAUGUGCAGAGAGCUAUAAGCUAGACUCAGAAUUAGCAACUUUUAUGGCCAGCAUACUUCGUGAAGAUGAUUGACAAUUUUGUUUAUGGUAUC